rnacentral:rRNA from 1 species
AGUGCUGCAGCUAACGCAUUUAGCACUCCGCCUGGGGAGUACGGUCGCAAGAUUGAAACUCAAAGGAAUUGACGGGGGCCCGCACCAGCGGUGGAGCAUGUGGUUUAAUUCGAGCAACGCGAAGAACCUUACCAGGUCUUGACAUCCUCUGACAACUCUAGAGAUAGAGCGUUCCCCUUCGGGGGACAGAGUGACAGGUGGUGCAUGGUUGUCGUCAGCUCGUGUCGUGAGAUGUUGGGUUAAGUCCCGCAACGAGCGCAACCCUUGAUCUUAGUUGCCAGCAUUCAGUUGGGCACUCUAAGGUGACCGCCGGUGACAAACCGGAGGAAGGUGGGGAUGACGUCAAAUCAUCAUGCCCCUUAUGACCUGGGCUACACACGUGCUACAAUGGAUGGUACAAAGGGCUGCAAGACCGCGAGGUCAAGCCAAUCCCAUAAAACCAUUCUCAGUUCGGAUUGUAGGCUGCAACUCGCCUACAUGAAGCUGGAAUCGCUAGUAAUCGCGGAUCAGC